rnacentral:rRNA from 1 species
CGGAGGGUGCAAGCGUUAAUCGGAAUUACUGGGCGUAAAGGGUUCGUAGGUGGUUUAUUAAGUUAUUUGUAAAAUCCCUGGGCUUAACCUGGGCAGGUCAGAUAAUACUGGUAGACUCGAGUAUGGGAGAGGGUAGUGGAAUUUCCGGUGUAGCGGUGAAAUGCGUAGAGGUCGGAAGGAACACCAGUGGCGAAGGCGGCUACCUGGCCUAAUACUGACACUGAGGAACGAAAGCGUGGGGAGCAAACAGGAUUAGAUACCCUGGUAGUCCACGCCGUAAACGAUGUCAACUAGCUGUUGGUCAUAUUGAUAUGAUUAGUGGCGCAGCAAACGCGAUAAGUUGACCGCCUGGGGAGUACGGUCGCAAGAUUA